rnacentral:rRNA from 1 species
CUCGGGUAUGCGGAGGCUUUUACAUGCAAGUCGAGCGCCCCGCAAGGGGAGCGGCAGACGGGUGAGUAACGCGUGGGAAUCUACCCUUUUCUACGGAAUAACGCAGGGAAACUUGUGCUAAUACCGUAUACGCCCUUCGGGGGAAAGAUUUAUCGGGAAAGGAUGAGCCCGCGUUGGAUUAGCUAGUUGGUGGGGUAAAGGCCUACCAAGGCGACGAUCCAUAGCUGGUCUGAGAGGAUGAUCAGCCACAUUGGGACUGAGACACGGCCCAAACUCCUACGGGAGGCAGCAGUGGGGAAUAUUGGACAAUGGGCGCAAGCCUGAUCCAGCCAUGCCGCGUGAGUGAUGAAGGCCCUAGGGUUGUAAAGCUCUUUCACCGGUGAAGAUAAUGACGGUAACCGGAGAAGAAGCCCCGGCUAACUUCGUGCCAGCAGCCGCGGUAAUACGAAGGGGGCUAGCGUUGUUCGGAAUUACUGGGCGUAAAGCGCACGUAGGCGGACAUUUAAGUCAGGGGUGAAAUCCCGGGGCUCAACCCCGGAACUGCCUUUGAUACUGGGUGUCUAGAGUAUGGAAGAGGUGAGUGGAAUUCCGAGUGUAGAGGUGAAAUUCGUAGAUAUUCGGAGGAACACCAGUGGCGAAGGCGGCUCACUGGUCCAUUACUGACGCUGAGGUGCGAAAGCGUGGGAAGAAAAACAGAAAA